rnacentral:rRNA from 1 species
UACGUAGGGUGCGAGCGUUAAUCGGAAUACUGGGCGUAAAGCGUGCGCAGGCGGUGAUGUAAGACAGAUGUGAAAUCCCCGGGCUCAACCUGGGAACUGCAUUUGUGACUGCAUCGCUGGAGUGCGGCAGAGGGGGAUGGAAUUCCGCGUGUAGCAGUGAAAUGCGUAGAUAUGCGGAGGAACACCGAUGGCGAAGGCAAUCCCCUGGGCCUGCACUGACGCUCAUGCACGAAAGCGUGGGAGCGAA